AACGAACGCUGGCGGCAUGCCUAACACAUGCAAGUCGAACGAGACCUUCGGGUCUAGUGGCGCACGGGUGCGUAACGCGUGGGAACCUGCCCUUAGGUUCGGAAUAACUCCCCGAAAGGGGUGCUAAUACCGGAUAAUGUCUUCGGACCAAAGUUUUAUCGCCUUUGGAUGGGCCCGCGUUGGAUUAGCUAGUUGGUAGGGUAAAAGCCUACCAAGGCGACGAUCCAUAGCUGGUCUGAGAGGAUGAUCAGCCACACUGGGACUGGGACACGGCCCAGACUCCUACGGGAGGCAGCAGUGGGGAAUAUUGGACAAUGGGCGAAGGCCUGAUCCAGCAAUGCCGCGUGAGUGAUGAAGGCCUUAGGGUUGUAAAGCUCUUUUACCCGGGAUGAUAAUGACAGUACCGGGAGAAUAAGCUCCGGCUAACUCCGUG
rnacentral:rRNA from 1 species